rnacentral:rRNA from 1 species
GACGAACGCUGGCGGCGUGCUUAACACAUGCAAGUCGAACGGAAAGGCCCUGCUUUUGUGGGGUUCUCGAGUGGCGAACGGGUGAGUAACACGUGAGUAACCUGCCCUUGACUUUGUGAUAACUUCAGGAAACUGGUGCUAAUACCGGAUAGGAGCUCCUGCUGCAUGGUGGUGGUUGGAAAGUUUCGUCGGUUGGGGAUGGACUCGCGGCUUAUCAGCUUGUUUGUGGGGUAGUGGCUUACCAAGGCUUUGACGGGUAGCCGGCCUGGGAGGGUGACCGGCGACAGUGGGACUGAGAUACGGCCCAGAAUGAAACGGGAGGCAGCAGUGGGGAAUAGUGCAAAAUGGGCGGAAGCAUGAUGCAGCAACGCCGCGUGCGGGAUGACGGCCUUCGGGUUGUAAAAAGCUUUCGCCUGUGACGAAGCGUGAGUGACGGUAAUGGGUAAAGAAGCACCGGCUAACUACGUG